UGUAUGUGCAUGUGUGUGAGGGCACAGCAUGUGUGUGGAUGUCCUAGGAGAGCCAUGAGCUGGUCUUCACCCUCACACUUGAUAUGACACAGAGUCUCUGUUGGGUGUCACUGUGUCCACCAGACUCGCUGGUUUGCAGGAUUUGGGGAAUUCUUCUGUCUCUGCCUUCAAUCUUGCUGCAGGAGCGCUGGGGCUACAGACUUCCAUCAUCUAGCUUUAUGUGGGUUUUCAGGAUUCAAACUCAGGACCUCACAGUUCUGUAGCUAGAAGAUCCAGAAAAGACUGCCCCACCCACACAAAAGUACUGGAACCCCAAUGCACCGUAGCCUUUCCAGGACCCAUUAGAAAGACACUCUUGUUUCAGCCCAGAUUAUCGCCCCAUAUCCUUCAUCCCACUGCCAACUGGAAGGGAGACAUCCUAGAAGGAUCUAUUGCUCAGCGACUAAGGAUUUAGCCUUCUUGGUACCCCUUCUUCAAGAGCACUGGGAACACCAGGAAUGGGAAAAAAAUCAGGACUUGCCUCCAGGUGGGAGAUACCUAAGAUGACCAGAACAGAGAAUGGACAGGCUCUGGGAAGACAAAGUCAGAGUCAGCAGGCUCCAGUCAGCUCUGACUCACUCCCACCAAGCCUCUUCCCUGAAACACACACACAAGGCAUUGUGUCUCCCAUCUAUAGCAGCUAAUCACCAUGCUGUAAACG